GAGAUAACCCAGCCAUAGCCGGUCCCAAGCCCGGUUGAGAAAUGGGGAGGGUCUC
rnacentral:ribozyme from 2 species